rnacentral:rRNA from 2 species
AUCCUUCCGUAGGGUGAACCUGCGGAAGGAUCAUUG